CUUGACUGCAUUUAGGAAAUCUCUCAGACGCAUGGUUUUCAACCCUGGUGUGUCAUCAAGGAUAAACAGUAAAUUUUUAUCUUAUGUCUUGGCCAUGCAAAUAUUGCAAAUAUGAGACCUCAAAACGUUUAGAGCUGUUAAAGCAUUACAGAUUGAAGCAUCCACAUACCGGUCAGGGCUGGUCGGUGCCUUGCUUGCACUUAAAUUGUCCUUGUUCGUUUAAAGGUUGGGGGGCUCUUAGAGCACAUUUGUCUAGAGACCAUGCACAACCACAACAUGUUCCUGAAUCAACAUCCUUGUUGAUCCUGGAACAACAUUCCAAUCAACCAAUCAGAAUUGAGAUAUAACUUUUCAGGAAAUAUUUGUUUUAGCCUUACGAUCAGGGUUAGAUACUUCUACAUCCUUGUAAAUCAGGUAUCAUUUCCCACUGAUUUUAGGAAUAAAUUAUGGGUAGGUUUAGGGGUAGAGAUAGGGUUAAGUCUAUAUUUUUGGACAUAAUGUUGAUCCAGGAUCAACAAAAGAUGUUGAUCCAGGAACAUGUCUUACUUGGCAAAAUCCCGGCGACCUGUAAUAUAUGUAGUGUAGAUAUAUUUAGCAGUUUAAACGACAAAGAAUGGCAACAAAGUUAAUAUUUUGAAAAAAAGCUUAACAGACUACAAAAGCAACCACCAGACAGACUCCAUCUUUCCAGGCUUUUCUCUUGUAGUCUUCGUUCAAAUCACUGCUCUUUGCAUGUGUAUGCCAUUGUAUUAUCACUUGGUAGUUUGUUUUCUAUGGAUAUUGGUUAUGUGUUGAAAAUAAUUAUCUAUUCACAGAACCAAAACAUUGAGAUGAGGCGUGAAGCUGUUAUCCGGAGCCUCAUACUGUACCUUGGCGAGAAAGAAGAGGAACUGUUUGAAGAUUGCCAGGAGGACAACCACAGUGACACAGCGCAACACACCCUCAAGAUUCUGGUUGUACAUGGAGCUGAUGGAAAGGAUCCAGUGGAUGUAUCCAUUAUUCUUGAAGGCAAGGAGAUAUUGCCGGGAUGCCAAAAUACUGCUAAAGCUUGUGCCCUGCUUAUGGGACUCAUUUAUGCCCUCAACCUUGCAUACCCCAGAGCACUGCGUUACACUUUCGAGGUGUUUCAGAAACUUUUUCUAGAAUUAGAUGUUAUUAAGCUCUCUACAAAAGUACAAGCUUUUAAGUCGAAGUUGUUUUAUUAAAUGCUAUUGCCAUUGCAAGUACUGCACAUUUUUGGUUACCAGUACUCCCCAACUAAGUUUGAAAUCUUCCAGGUUCUAUUGGACUAUUUGCACAGACAUAAUGUUUCUCUGAUCACUUGUGUACAUAAUUAGCAGUUUUGCUUUUGAAUUUAGUUUAACCAUUGUGAACAGUGGUGGUAAGACACUUGCCUGUUUUCUGCUUUGUGCCAACUAAGGCAUCUGGUCUUUUUUUCUUUAUUGUCAUGUUUAGAGCACUAGUCAAGAGCGCCAUGUUAGUUGUUGAAACGGCAUUGUUUUAGACUUUUUUAAAAUUUAACAGAAUUCGUAAAAGCACUACUCAUUAUCAGUAGGAUGCAGUCUCUUUUAAGAAAUUAUUUUUGACAUUAUUUAGCAAAAUUGCUUUAUAUAGAAAUAUUGACAUCUUUAACUGUUAAACAAAAUGUUUUUAUGCAUUUAAUGUUGUAAUGUUUAGAGCACAAGUACAGAGUGCUAUGUUGAAUGUUGAAACUGCACUGUUUGAGAGGAUUGUUACUUUUAUUGAAAUAGUAAAUGUUGUAUCCAUGCAUUAUAUCCAUGAGGUUUAAACCUCAUCCCAUGUUUUUGUAUACCUCUUGGGGUUAAAACACUUUAUGAUCUUGACAAAUUAAAUUGUUUUCAGGACUCAAAUCCCUAAGGAAACAGUUGUUAUUUAAAAAACUUAGGUUUUGCUUUAUGUAACUUCAAAAGGUUACAUUUUGACUGAGUCAUUGUUUAAUGUUGGAACAAAAUAAAUGUUUAUUGCAUC
ensembl:lncRNA